AAUUAGUUCAGUUUGAGAGAACUCAGAGUAGUAGGCACUUUCCCUCCUGAAUUGAAUCAGUAGUGAGAUUUGGCACUAGUGCUCAGAAGAGUUGCAGCUGCAUUGGGAUACACGCCACAACAAGUUCGGAUCUUUUCUCAGUUGGGAUUUGGUGCUUGUUAUAGUUCCAUUUCUGGGUCUGAUUCGUCUAGUAAUACCCACAACCUGUUUGUGAAAAUGUCUAUGAGAGUUUAGGCAUUACUUAGUUACUUACCAUUUUAUGUGCAUAUAUGCUCUGUAUAAUGGUAAAUGCUCUGUUUUACCAUUUUAAGCAUUUAUCUUUCAGUUCUUCUGUCCAUCCCAAGAUGCUGAAUGCUAGGAUAGGGAACUGUGUGGAGAUUGGUGCAAAUACAUGCAUCGACAUGCAGGGGAAG
rnacentral:lncRNA from 1 species